UACGUAGGGGGCAAGCGUUGUCCGGAUUUAUUGGGCGUAAAGCGCUCGCAGGUGGUUCGUCGCGUCGUGCGUGAAAGACCCCGGCUCAACUGGGGGAGGUCGUGCGAUACGGGCGGACUGGAGGCCAGUAGGGGGAUGCGGAAUUCCAGGUGUAGCGGUGAAAUGCGUAGAUAUCGGGAGGAACACCAAUGGCGAAGGCAGCUCGCUGGGACGGUACUGACGCUGAGACGCGAAAGCGUGGGGAGCAAACAGGG
rnacentral:rRNA from 1 species